rnacentral:ncRNA from 1 species
UUAUUUUUACUUAUUAUAACUUUCAUUGUAUAUGUUUCAUUUAUUUUUAAAAGUUUUAUUCUUGCUUAUUUAUUCACUAUUUCUUUAUAUUAUAUAUAAGUUUUGUUUAACUAAAUGUUCUAUUUUUUAUAGUAAUUAAAUUUAAUUAUCAAGUUAUUUUGGAAUUAGUAAUUGAUUUAGUAUUGGCAUAUUUCGUGCCAGCAGCCGCGGUUAUACGAUUAAUACAAGUGAAUAUUUUUGGUUAAUGUAGUUAUAAUUUAUUUUGAGUUUUAAUAAAUAAUUAUUAGGUGAAAUUUUAUUUUUUUUUUUGACUCUAAAUUUAGAAUCUGUGAAACUUAUAAUUUAAACUAGGAUUAGAUACCCUAUUAUUUUAAGUGUAAAUAUUUUUUGCCUGGGUAGUAUUAGUUAAGGUCUUAAAACCCAAAGAAUUUGGCGGUAUUUCAUUCCAUUCAGAGGAACCUGUCUCGUAAUUGAUAGUACACGAUUUACUUUACUUAAUUUAUUUGUUUGUAUAUCUCCGUUACCAGAAAAUCUUUUUUGGAGUUAUAAUUUUCUUAUUUUUUGAUUAAAAAUUAUUUCAGGUCAAGGUGCAGCUUAUAGUUAAGAGUAUGAUGGGUUACAAUAAAUUUUUUUAUUAUGGAUUAUAAUUUUGUAAUAUUUUAAUGAAGGUGGAUUUGGUAGUAAUUUAAAUUAUUUAAUUUAUCUGAUAUUGGCUCUGAAGUGUGUACACAUCGCCCGUCACUCUCGUUAUUGAUUAAAAUUUAUUUUCAUUUAAUAUGAGAUAAGUCGUAACAUAGUAGAUGUACUGGAAAGUGUAUCUAGUAAGUUAAAU